GAGUUGCGAACGGGUGAGUAACGCGUAGGUAACCUGCCUAUUAGAGGGGGAUAACUAUUGGAAACGAUAGCUAAUACCGCAUAACAGUAUGUAACACAUGUUAGAUGCUUGAAAGAUGCAAUUGCAUCGCUAGUAGAUGGACCUGCGUUGUAUUAGCUAGUAGGUAGGGUAAUGGCCUACCUAGGCAACGAUACAUAGCCGACCUGAGAGGGUGAUCGGCCACACUGGGACUGAGACACGGCCCAGACUCCUACGGGAGGCAGCAGUAGGGAAUCUUCGGCAAUGGGGGGAACCCUGACCGAGCAACGCCGCGUGAGUGAAGAAGGUUUUCGGAUCGUAAAGCUCUGUUGUUAAGGAAGAACGAGUGUGAGAAUGGAAAGUUCAUACUGUGACGGUACUUAACCAGAAAGGGACGGCUAACUACGUGCCAGCAGCCGCGGUAAUACGUAGGUCCCGAGCGUUGUCCGGAUUUAUUGGGCGUAAAGCGAGCGCAGGCGGUUAGAAAAGUCUGAAGUGAAAGGCAGUGGCUCAACCAUUGUAGGCUUUGGAAACUGUUUAACUUGAGUGCAGAAGGGGAGAGUGGAAUUCCAUGUGUAGCGGUGAAAUGCGUAGAUAUAUGGAGGAACACCGGUGGCGAAAGCGGCUCUCUGGUCUGUAACUGACGCUGAGGCUCGAAAGCGUGGGGAGCGAACAGGAUUAGAUACCCUGGUAGUCCACGCCGUAAACGAUGAGUGCUAGGUGUUAGGUCCUUUCCGGGACUUAGUGCCGCAGCUAACGCAUUAAGCACUCCGCCUGGGGAGUACGACCGCAAGGUUGAAACUCAAAGGAAUUGACGGGGGCCCGCACAAGCGGUGGAGCAUGUGGUUUAAUUCGAAGCAACGCGAAGAACCUUACCAGGUCUUGACAUCCCGAUGCUAUUUCUAGAGAUAGGAAGUUUCUUCGGAACAUCGGUGACAGGUGGUGCAUGGUUGUCGUCAGCUCGUGUCGUGAGAUGUUGGGUUAAGUCCCGCAACGAGCGCAACCCUUAUUGUUAGUUGCCAUCAUUGAGUUGGGCACUCUAGCGAGACUGCCGGUAAUAAACCGGAGGAAGGUGGGGAUGACGUCAAAUCAUCAUGCCCCUUAUGACCUGGGCUACACACGUGCUACAAUGGCUGGUACAACGAGUCGCAAGCCGGUGACGGCAAGCUAAUCUCUGAAAGCCAGUCUCAGUUCGGAUUGUAGGCUGCAACUCGCCUACAUGAAGUCGGAAUC
rnacentral:rRNA from 1 species